GGCCUGCCCACUGAUAUUAUAUUAAAGGGCCGCGGUAUUUUGACCGUGCGAAGGUAGCAUAAUCAUUAGUCUUUUAAUUGGAGGCUUGUAUGAAUGGUUGGACAAAAAGUUAACUGUCUCACUUAUAAGAAUUGAAUUUAACUUUUAAGUGAAAAGGCUUAAAUGAACUGGGGGGACGAUAAGACCCUAUAAAGCUUUACAAUAAAUUAAUUAAAUUAUAAAUUAUUAGUGUAACUUAAUUUAAUUAGUGUUUGUUUCGUUGGGGCGACGAGAAUAUAAUUAUAUAACUGUUCUUUUAGAUAAAUAACAAGAUUGAUUGGAUAAAGAUUGAUCCUUUAAUAAAGAUUAAAAGAUUAAGUUACUUUAGGGAUAACAGCGUAAUCUUCUUUGAGAGUCCAUAUCGACAAGAAGGGUUGCGACCUCGAUGUUGAAUUAAGGUACCCUUAUGAUGCAGCAGUUGUAAAGGGAGGUCUGUUCGACCUUUAAAUCCUUACGUGAUCUGAGUUCAGACCGGA
rnacentral:rRNA from 1 species